GACGAACGCUGGCGGCGUGCCUAAUACAUGCAAGUCGAACGAACUCUGGUAUUGAUUGGUGCUUGCAUCAUGAUUUACAUUUGAGUGAGUGGCGAACUGGUGAGUAACACGUGGGAAACCUGCCCAGAAGCGGGGGAUAACACCUGGAAACAGAUGCUAAUACCGCAUAACAACUUGGACCGCAUGGUCCGAGUUUGAAAGAUGGCUUCGGCUAUCACUUUUGGAUGGUCCCGCGGCGUAUUAGCUAGAUGGUGGGGUAACGGCUCACCAUGGCAAUGAUACGUAGCCGACCUGAGAGGGUAAUCGGCCACAUUGGGACUGAGACACGGCCCAAACUCCUACGGGAGGCAGCAGUAGGGAAUCUUCCACAAUGGACGAAAGUCUGAUGGAGCAACGCCGCGUGAGUGAAGAAGGGUUUCGGCUCGUAAAACUCUGUUGUUAAAGAAGAACAUAUCUGAGAGUAACUGUUCAGGUAUUGACGGUAUUUAACCAGAAAGCCACGGCUAACUACGUGCCAGCAGCCGCGGUAAUACGUAGGUGGCAAGCGUUGUCCGGAUUUAUUGGGCGUUAAGCGGGCGCCGGCGGUUUUUUAAGUCUGAUGUGAAAGCCUUCGGCUCAACCGAAGAAGUGCAUCGGAAACUGGGAAACUUGAGUGCAGAAGAGGACAGUGGAACUCCAUGUGUAGCGGUGAAAUGCGUAGAUAUAUGGAAGAACACCAGUGGCCGAAGGCGGCUGUCUGGUCUGUAACUGACGCUGAGGCUCGAAAGUAUGGGUAGCAAACAGGAUUAGAUACCCUGGUAGUCCAUACCGUAAACGAUGAAUGCUAAGUGUUGGAGGGUUUCCGCCCUUCAGUGCUGCAGCUAACGCAUUAAGCAUUCCGCCUGGGGAGUACGGCCGCAAGGCUGAAACUCAAAGGAAUUGACGGGGGCCCGCACAAGCGGUGGAGCAUGUGGUUUAAUUCGAAGCUACGCGAAGAACCUUACCAGGUCUUGACAUACUAUGCAAAUCUAAGAGAUUAGACGUUCCCUUCGGGGACAUGGAUACAGGUGGUGCAUGGUUGUCGUCAGCUCGUGUCGUGAGAUGUUGGGUUAAGUCCCGCAACGAGCGCAACCCUUAUUAUCAGUUGCCAGCAUUAAGUUGGGCACUCUGGUGAGACUGCCGGUGACAAACCGGAGGAAGGUGGGGAUGACGUCAAAUCAUCAUGCCCCUUAUGACCUGGGCUACACACGUGCUACAAUGGAUGGUACAACGAGUUGCGAACUCGCGAGAGUAAGCUAAUCUCUUAAAGCCAUUCUCAGUUCGGAUUGUAGGCUGCAACUCGCCUACAUGAAGUCGGAAUCGCUAGUAAUCGCGGAUCAGCAUGCCGCGGUGAAUACGUUCCCGGGCCUUGUACACACCGCCCGUCACACCAUGAGAGUUUGUAACACCCAAAGUCGGUGGGGUAACCUUUUAGGAACCAGCCGCCUAAGGUGGGACAGAUGAUUAGGGUG
rnacentral:rRNA from 1 species